rnacentral:lncRNA from 1 species
AUCUCAAAAAAAAAAAUUAAGUAAUUAAUUAACUUUCUUCAUUUUUAUUGACCAAGAAAGUUAAGCUUCGUUUUUUUUUCAUAUUUUAAAAGACUCUAUAUCUCCUUACCGUCUCUACCUCCUCUUCAUGCCCACCAACCAAUUGAACAUUCUGCUGUGUACAUUUCUAUACCUUUUAUCAUUCUAAUACAAACCUCUACAAUCAUUUAUGAAAUAUAAAGGAUUCUUUGCUUUGUUUUUAUGUUUUUAUGCAGCAUGCUUCUCUCACUUUUGUGGACACUAUUCCAGGUCAAAAGAUAAUAGAUUUAACUCAUUAAUUUUAAUAAUCACCCAAAAAAAAAUGAAUUUAAUGACUGUUACUACAGGUGGGGAAUUCUUAUAGCCUGGGAGCUACACCAUCAACACAGUUUGAGAUGGAGUCUCCUUCUGUCACCCAGGCUGGAGUGCAGUGGC